GCCCAGCCGUAAACAAUUAACUUACACUAAAAACGCCUGGGAACUACGAGCAAUGCUUAAAACCCAAAGGAUUUGACGGUGUCCCACCCACCUAGAGGAGCCUGUUCUAUAAUCGAUAAUCCCCGCUAUACCCAACCACCCCUAGCUCUUCAGUCUGUAUACCUCCGUCGAAAGCCUACCAUGUGAACGUUUUCAGUAGGCCCAAUGACCACCCUCAAUACGUCAGGUCAAGGUGCAGCUCACGGAGUGGAAAGCAAUGGGCUACAAUUUCUAACUUAGAACAAACGAAAAACUAUGUGAAAUCAUAGUUAUGAAGGCGGAUUUAGCAGUAAAAAGAAAAUAGAGAGUUCUUUUUAACCCGGCUCUGGGACGCGUACACACCGCCCGUCACCCUCUUCAACAAUAUCUAUUAAGUCUCUAACCCUACACUACACCUUAGAAGAGGCAAGUCGUAACAUGGUAAGUGUACUGGAAAGUGCACUUGGAUUACACAAAAUGUAGCUUAACUAAAGCCCCUCGCUUACACCGAGGCAAUGUCUGUUCGACCCAGAUCAUCUUGAGCCUAAAAUCUAGCCCACAUAAAUCCCAUGAAACCCUUAACCCACUGUCCCACAACAAAACAUUUUAACAUUUUAGUACAGGAGAUCAAAAAAUUCCUAGGCGCUUCAGAUAUAGUACCGCAAGGGAACGAUGAAAUAAAAAUGAAAUAAUUUUAAAGCCUCAAAUAGCAGAGAUACUCCCUCG
rnacentral:rRNA from 1 species